rnacentral:rRNA from 1 species
UACGUAGGGUGCGAGCGUUGUCCGGAAUUACUGGGCGUAAAGAGCUCGUAGGUGGUUUGUCGCGUUGUUCGUGAAAACUCACAACUCAAUUGUGGGCGUGCGGGCGAUACGGGCAGACUGGAGUACUGCAGGGGAGACUGGAACUCCUGGUGUAGCGGUGGAAUGCGCAGAUAUCAGGAGGAACACCGGUGGCGAAGGCGGGUCUCUGGGCAGUAACUGACGCUGAGGAGCGAAAGCGUGGGGAGCGAACAGG